rnacentral:rRNA from 1 species
AUACGAAGGGUGCAAGCGUUAAUCGGAAUUACUGGGCGUAAAGCGCGCGUAGGGGGUUCGUUAAGUUGGAUGUGAAAGCCCCGGGCUCAACCUGGGAACUGCAUCCAAAACUGGCGAGCUAGAGUAUGGCAGAGGGUGGUGGAAUUUCCUGUGUAGAGGUGAAAUGCGUAGAUAUAGGAAGGAACACCAGUGGCGAAGGCGACCGCCUGGGUUAAUACUGACACUGAGGUGCGAAAGGGUGGGGAGCAAACAGGAUUAGAUACCCUGGUAGUCCACGCCGUAAACGAUGUCGACUAGCCGUUGGGAGCCUUGAGAUCUUAGUGGCGCAGCUAACGCAUUAAGUCGACCGCCUGGGGAGUACGGCCGCAAGGUUAAAACUCAAAUGAAUUGGCGGGG